rnacentral:rRNA from 1 species
ACUCCUACGGGAGGCAGCAGUGGGGAAUAUUGCACAAUGGGCGCAAGCCUGAUGCAGCCAUGCCGCGUGUGUGAAGAAGGCCUCGGUUGUAAAGCACUUUCAGCAGUGAGGAAGGCGGGUAUGUUAAUAGCAUAUUCGUUUGACGUUAGCUGCAGAAGAAGCACCGGCUAACUCCGUGCCAGCAGCCGCGGUAAUACGGAGGGUGCGAGCGUUAAUCGGAAUUACUGGGCGUAAAGCGCAUGCAGGUGGUUUGUUAAGUCAGAUGUGAAAGCCCGGGGCUCAACCUCGGAAUAGCAUUUGAAACUGGCAGACUAGAGUACUGUAGAGGGGGUAGAAUUUCAGGUGUAGCGGUGAAAUGCGUAGAGAUCUGAAGGAAUACCGGUGGCGAAGGCGGCCCCCUGGACAGAUACUGACACUCAGAUGCG